GGGUUGUGAGGUUAAGCGAAUAAGCGUACACGGUGGAUGCCCUGGCAGUCAGAGGCGAUGAAGGACGUGCUAAUCUGCGAAAAGCGUCGGUGAGGUGAUAUGAACCGUUAUAACCGACGAUGUCCGAAUGGGGAAACCCAGUGUGACCUGUCACACUAUCAUUAACUGAAUCCAUAGGUUAAUGAGGCGAACCGGGGGAACUGAAACAUCUAAGUACCCCGAGGAAAAGAAAUCAACCGAGAUUCCCCCAGUAGCGGCGAGCGAACGGGGAAGAGCCCAGAGUCUGAAUCAGUUUGUGUGUUAGUGGAAGCGUCUGGAAAGUCGCAGGGUACAGGGUGAUACUCCCGUACACGAAAAUGCACAGACUGUGAGCUCGAUGAGUAGGGCGGGACACGUGGUAUCCUGUCUGAAUAUGGGGGGACCAUCCUCCAAGGCUAAAUACUCCUGACUGACCGAUAGUGAACCAGUACCGUGAGGGAAAGGCGAAAAGAACCCCGGCGAGGGGAGUGAAAAAGAACCUGAAACCGUGUACGUACAAGCAGUGGGAGCAUCCUUCGGGGUGUGACUGCGUACCUUUUGUAUAAUGGGUCAGCGACUUAUAUUCUGUAGCAAGGUUAACCGUAUAGGGGAGCCGCAGGGAAACCGAGUCUUAACCGGGCGUUAAGUUGCAGGGUAUAGACCCGAAACCCGGUGAUCUAGCCAUGGGCAGGUUGAAGGUUGGGUAACACUAACUGGAGGACCGAACCGACUAAUGUUGAAAAAUUAGCGGAUGACCUGUGGCUGGGGGUGAAAGGCCAAUCAAACCGGGAGAUAGCUGGUUCUCCCCGAAAGCUAUUUAGGUAGCGCCUCGUGAACUCAUCUUCGGGGGUAGAGCACUGUUUCGGCUAGGGGGUCAUCCCGACUUACCAACCCGAUGCAAACUGCGAAUACCGAAGAAUGUUAUCACGGGAGACACACGGCGGGUGCUAACGUCCGUCGUGAAGAGGGAAACAACCCAGACCGCCAGCUAAGGUCCCAAAGUCAUGGUUAAGUGGGAAACGAUGUGGGAAGGCACAGACAGCCAGGAUGUUGGCUUAGAAGCAGCCAUCAUUUAAAGAAAGCGUAAUAGCUCACUGGUCGAGUCGGCCUGCGCGGAAGAUGUAACGGGGCUAAACCAUGCACCGAAGCUGCGGCAGCGACACUUAGGUGUUGUUGGGUAGGGGAGCGUUCUGUAAGCCGUCGAAGGUGGCCUGUGAGGGUUGCUGGAGGUAUCAGAAGUGCGAAUGCUGACAUAAGUAACGAUAAUGCGGGUGAAAAACCCGCACGCCGGAAGACCAAGGGUUCCUGUCCAACGUUAAUCGGGGCAGGGUGAGUCGACCCCUAAGGCGAGGCCGAAAGGCGUAGUCGAUGGGAAACGGGUUAAUAUUCCCGUACUCGGUGUUACUGCGAUGGGGGGACGGAGAAGGCUAUGUCAUCCGGGCGACGGUCGUCCCGGUUUAAGCGUGUAGGUGUGCAUUCCAGGUAAAUCCGGUUUGCUUUAACACUGAGGCGUGAUGACGAGGCACUACGGUGCUGAAGUGACAGAUGCCCCGCUUCCAGGAAAAGCCUCUAAGCUUCAGGUAACAACGAAUCGUACCCCAAACCGACACAGGUGGUCAGGUAGAGAAUACCAAGGCGCUUGAGAGAACCCGGGUGAAGGAACUAGGCAAAAUGGUGCCGUAACUUCGGGAGAAGGCACGCUGAUGUGUAAGUGAAGCCCCUGCGGGUGGAGCUGAAGUCAGUCGAAGAUACCAGCUGGCUGCAACUGUUUAUUAAAAACACAGCACUGUGCAAACACGAAAGUGGACGUAUACGGUGUGACGCCUGCCCGGUGCCGGAAGGUUAAUUGAUGGGGUUAUCCGUAAGGAGAAGCUCUUGAUCGAAGCCCCGGUAAACGGCGGCCGUAACUAUAACGGUCCUAAGGUAGCGAAAUUCCUUGUCGGGUAAGUUCCGACCUGCACGAAUGGCGUAAUGAUGGCCAGGCUGUCUCCACCCGGGACUCAGUGAAAUUGAACUCGCUGUGAAGAUGCAGUGUACCCGCGGCAAGACGGAAAGACCCCGUGAACCUUUACUAUAGCUUGACACUGAACACUGGUCCUUGAUGUGUAGGAUAGGUGGGAGGCUUUGAAGCGUGGACGCCAGUCUGCGUGGAGCCAACCUUGAAAUACCACCCUUUAAUGGCUGGUGUUCUAACGUAGACCCCUUAUCGGGGUUGCGGACAGUGUCUGGUGGGUAGUUUGACUGGGGCGGUCUCCUCCCAAAGAGUAACGGAGGAGCACGAAGGUUGGCUAAUCCUGGUCGGACAUCAGGAGGUUAGUGCAAUGGCAUAAGCCAGCUUGACUGCGAGCGUGACGGCGCGAGCAGGUGCGAAAGCAGGUCAUAGUGAUCCGGUGGUUCUGAAUGGAAGGGCCAUCGCUCAACGGAUAAAAGGUACUCCGGGGAUAACAGGCUGAUACCGCCCAAGAGUUCAUAUCGACGGCGGUGUUUGGCACCUCGAUGUCGGCUCAUCACAUCCUGGGGCUGAAGUAGGUCCCAAGGGUAUGGCUGUUCGCCAUUUAAAGUGGUACGCGAGCUGGGUUUAGAACGUCGUGAGACAGUUCGGUCCCUAUCUGCCGUGGGCGCUGGAGAAUUGAGGGGGGCUGCUCCUAGUACGAGAGGACCGGAGUGGACGCAUCACUGGUGUUCGGGUUGUCAUGCCAAUGGCAUUGCCCGGUAGCUACAUGCGGAAGAGAUAAGUGCUGAAAGCAUCUAAGCACGAAACUUGCCCCGAGAUGAGUUCUCCCUUGGACCUUGAGUCCACUGAAGGAACGUUGAAGACUACGACGUUGAUAGGCCGGGUGUGUAAGCGCAGCGAUGCGUUGAGCUAACCGGUACUAAUGAACCGUGAGGCUUAACCUUACAACGCCGAAGGUGUUU
rnacentral:rRNA from 1 species